AAUGGGCGCAAGCCUGAACCAGCCACGCCGCGUGAGUGAUGAAGGCCUUCGGGUUGUAAAGCUCUGUGGGGAGGGACGAAAACGGUCCGGAAGAAACGACGGAUCCUUGACGGUACCUCCUUAGCAAGCACCGGCUAACUCUGUGCCAGCAGCCGCGGUAAUACAGAGGGUGCGAACGUUGCUCGGAAUUACUGGGCGUAAAGCGCGUGUAGGCGGGACGAUAAGUCGGAAGUGAAAUCCCCGGGCUCAACCCGGGAACUGCUUUCGAAACUGCCGUCCUCGAGUACCGGAGAGGGUGGCGGAAUUCCUGGUGUAGAGGUGAAAUUCGUAGAUAUCAGGAGGAACACCGGUGGCGAAGGCGGCCACCUGGACGGUCACUGACGCUGAGACGCGAAAGCGUGGGGAGCAAA
rnacentral:rRNA from 1 species